CGGGGUGCAGCAGGCGCGAAAACUCUACAAUGCUGGCAACAGCGAUAAGGGGACCUCGAGUGCCAUGAUCCAAUCUUGCCUGUCGUAAUGCCUAAAAAGCAUUGCAUAGCAAGGGCCGGGCAAGACCGGUGCCAGCCGCCGCGGUAACACCGGCGGCUCGAGUGGUAACCGAUAUUAUUGGGUCUAAAGGGUCUGUAGCCGGCCGGAUAAGUCUCUUGGGAAAUCCAGCUGCUUAACAGUUGGUCUUUCAGAAGAUACUAUUCGGCUCGAGACCGGGAGAGGUGAGAGGUACUUCAGGGGUAGGGGUGAAAUCCUGUAAUCCUCGAAGGACCACCAGUGGCGAAGGCGUCUCACCAGAACGGAUCUGACGGCAAGGGACGAAAGCUAGGGGCACGAACCGGAUUAGAUACCCGGGUAGUCCUAGCCGUAAACGAUACUCGCUAGGUGUCAGCCCCGUUGCGACCGUUGUUGGUGCCGUAGGGAAGCCGUGAAGCGAGCCACCUGGGAAGUACGGCCGCAAGGCUGAAACUUAAAGGAAUUGGCGGGGAGCAC
rnacentral:rRNA from 1 species